CCAAGUAAGCCUCAUCGAUAUUUUAUAAAAAAUCGGACAACGUUUCCCGUAUUUUAGGACUAUCCAAAAAUUACCUGUCUCAAAAAGCAACAACAAAACCAAUUAAUAUCUAACAAAACAACUCAUAAUCGUCAUCGACUACCCAGUCAGAUCUCCAUCACUAUUAAACAAUCACUUGUAAGACCGUGAUGCUAAAUCUAUCUCCAAAAUACGAUAAGAAAGUCCGAUCUAGUAAACAAGUCGAGAAUGAUAAUUAAUUCACAUGACACUAUUGAAAUGACUAUGGAGCGACUCUAAGAGUUUUAAAGAAAAGACUAUAACAAUAAAUAAAAUCUACGCCCACGCGAACAAGUGCGAGGCUCAUCAAGAACUAUCAACCUGUGCGCUCUAAUUAACGAAAUCUUUGCCCGCGUCAACUGUUGUCUCUGUAAAAAAAUUAGCGGGAAUGAGUCGUUAGCUCAGUGAGUAAUAACACUAAACAACAACCGUUUUUAUUGGGGACAAGUCAGAAAACAUGCUAGUAUCUCAAACAGAAAAUAACAUAAAAAUGCCCUUUUAGAAAUAAUAAAUAAUUCUCAAUCUCAUUAUACUUUUCUUGUAGUACAAUAAUAUUAAGAAUUCAAUAAUAAGCUCGGUAACCACUGUAUAAUAUCAGUAUUCACAUUUGGGAGGUUUCACUGAAUGGUUCAUAUAAUCGGUAUAACUGUGGACUUCCGCGCAAGAAGUCAAAUAUAACGGUAGUCCCUACUCGAGGGAAAACGGUAACGGUAUGCUAGUUCUACCUUCCCACUAGCGAGGGCUAUAAUUGUACUCUGUAAUCGGUAAAUACAAGGUACACCAGGUCUAACGAACCCGCCGUUAGCUACGGGAUCCUUUAAAGUCUCCUCCCAUUUAUACUUUUUCUUGUAACCAGUAAAUAUUCAUAAGAAAGCAUUUUCAAAUCACAAAGGGCAUAUAAAUUCUUACCAAAUCAUGUAAAUCCAUUUCGGUAAUGGUAACUAUAUCUCAAGUAACAGUAAAACAUGUCUAGUAUUAGUGAGAACAUUUUAAAUAACGAUAAACAUCUCCAGUAAAUUGUUCAGUACCAUAUCAAGUAAAGGACUUGUCCCAUAUGCAAUUUCAAACAUUCAGUAACAUAUUUUAUUUUCAAAAUAACAUAUAAACCAUGUAGGUUAUGAAAACACAAAUUGUGGUAAGAUUACUAUUCACAGUACUCGUGCGAAAUACCAAACUCGUCACCUCGAACGAUCUGUACGAUUUUCUUCAAUCAAUUUAUAACCACAUCAACACCGAUAUCGUGUUAAUUGCUUCAUUUAUGCCAAAUUCAUCACUAAUUUAGGAUACCCAAUCCUCCGAAUUUUAUAUUUUAUCAUCAAUUCGCCAAAUUAUAUUUACCCAUGCUAAGUGUAACUCAACUGGUCCAUAAUCUAUAAAUUUCAACUUGUAUAAUUUGUUCAUUCAAUUUUUUUUUUCACACCAGAUGAUGCCUAAUAUGUGUAUAAGCCUAAACCAUAAAGGAUCACUGUUGACAAUACUUCUUUUAGUACCUAAUAAAAUUAUAUACACCCAGAUAAUAAGCUUAAGCAAACUGUAAGUAAGAAAGUUUACCAUACGAAUUAAAAAAUUGCUUCAACAAACUGUCUUUGCUUCUCUGUUUCACGCAAGAAGAUUUCAGCACCAAAAGAAUACUUUACGAAUCCUUGUUCUAUCCUUCCCGCCUCAAUUCCAGUGAAUAUCCCCAUAUUUUAAACUUCAGUAUUUCAAUUUUUGGUGUAUUUGGGACCUUUGUUUAUAGCUUUGGUUUCGGGAUAAGCUCUUUGUGCGGCAGAAGUUUGCUCUCAUGUAUUUAGGGGUUUUUUUCCUUUUUUUUUUGCACUUCUUAUUAGAUUAGUUACAAUGGGC
rnacentral:lncRNA from 1 species